rnacentral:lncRNA from 1 species
GGAAACCACGGGACUCUACAGCCAUCCCAGUGGCUGGCUUCGGGGACACCUUUCCAUGGCUCUAUCUGAGGCUCUGCUGUGAGGCAGCCCAGGGGGCUCUGGCUAAAUGAGCCCCCCAUUUGGCCAGGGUGACAGGCUAACUUGCGGGCGUGCAGCCGCCUGGGAGUGGCUUUCCUCCCUGCCAGGCACACACAGACGCCGUUUCCAGCCCUCCCGUGGGAAGAUGGGGAAACAGAGGCUCCAAGAGGCGGAGGGACCUGCCCCAGGCCUCCCAGCAGAGAGGAACCCGGAGGCUGGGACAGCGCUCCUCAGGGCUCCAAAGGUUCUUUGCUAGAAAUCACAUCACCCAUCUGUAAAACUCCGGGGUUUGGUUCCAGUCCCAUGUCUUUGUGAUCUAAUAAAAUAACAAAAGACAUCAAAACAAAAGUUGGUGCCAAGAAGAGAAGUCGUUUGAACUAGAGGAAAAAGAAUGAUGUGUCUACCUUCCUCCUCGUCCUCCUCCUCACUUGUUCCGAGCAGGGUAUUGUGUGUGCCAGCACCUGCGUGCACGAAUGCCUGCAC